rnacentral:misc_RNA from 1 species
CACCAAUCAAGCCACGCUUGGUAUUGGGUGCCCGGCCCCCGCCUCCCCCGCGGCGGGCCCACCCCAAAGUCAUCGGCGAGGACUGAGACCCCCGGCGUGUUAGAGACAUCUGACGCCGGGAGCACCUCUGCGCCUCCGCCGCGAAAGAAGACCCAUUAAAA